AAAUUUGCCAUAAUAUCUAGUGCUUGGCGAAAAAAUUUGCCAUAAUAUCUAGUGCUUGGCGAAAAAAUUUGCCAUAAUAUCUAGUGCUUGGCAAUUCAAAUAUCACUGAAUUUUGAGAAUGAGCCAGGAAAGGAAAUUAAGUAAAUAUUACAUGCAUGCUACUAGUAUUUAUGUACAAAAAUAUACUUUUUCAUCAAUAUUUUGGCGAAAAAGUGAAAUAAUUUAAUUUUUCCCGACGAUUCAAAAAACCGGGACACUUUAUCAAAACCGGGACAUUUUCGGGACGCCGGGACAGGGUUUGAAAAGCGGGACAUGUCCCGGCUAAACCGGGACGGAUGGUCACCCUAACUGGAAGGAUGUGUAUGAUAUGAUUCCAGCAGUCUGUCGUGCCUCCAAUGUAAUCCUUGUGAUAAACGUUCAUCAUUUAUUAUUACGUGGAAAGAGAUCCCUUAUCAGAUGGACUCUCAUGAGCUUCCCCGCUAGGAAAACGCGACUCAACCUGAUGGUUCCCAUUUUACUGCUCGUCUUCCGAUGGAGAAAUGAUAUUUCUAUUAUAAUUCAACACACUCCUACCACUCACUUACUUGCCCUGGUGGACACUUAUUAGGCCACAUGUAUGGCGGAAAGAUGGAAAAUAAGGUAUCGCUCUCCUCCUCCACCUUGCCCACGUCGUAGGGCGAGUACGCGUUUCAGAAUGUGCAACGCGCUGAUUGCGAUUUUAUCGUGAAAGAGGACGACUGAAUAUUUAUGAGAGAAACAGAAUCUUGAGACGUUUCACUUUACAUAAUUAUUACGACCCAUAUCAUUAUCCACCAUCCUGACUCGCCAUUUGCUCAUUUAUGUGAUGUUUUAUUUCUAGUCUGCCACUCACCCAACUUUGUCCAUCCAUCCAUCCAAUCCAACCCGAGUAGAGACGUCUUUUAUACUCGUUUUUUUAUAACUUUUUGGCUUUUCUACUCCUCCAGCCACCAAGAAGAAGGAGAAGAUAAUACUAAAAUUUCGUCAAGUUUUACCCCCGCUGCUGAAUACGUACGUACACUGCACGCACAUCCAUCCAUUCCGUGGAUACACAUUUCAACAGACGGAGACGACACGACGAUACUAAUAAACAGGUCUUCUUCUCUUUGGCUUAAAUUAGGUGGAACAAAUCGCUCUCGUUAUUGCGUUUUCUCAGUAAUUACCAAAUGUUUACAGUUGCUCUGCUCCUUCGUCUUCGUGGUCGUCGCAGUCGUAUUCACGAUAUGAUAUAAUAAUAAUAAAAAUAAUGAUUCGUACGUCCCCACUUCUCGAACUGACUGCUAGAUAUUUUCCGACGAUGAUGAUGACUGACUUGGUAUUACUAAUUUCAUUAAAAACCCAUGCAUACCUACGUACGAAUGUACAUACGAGUACCUACCCACGAGUCGUACGUAUAACUCAUCCACCAAUGUUUUUAUUACUCUUAUCAUCAUUACUUUUAUGGUUGGAUAAUAUUUUAAAUUAAAUGGUCAUGAUAACACUCAGCCCACAUCGCACUACGACGAGAGAGAACAUGAGACGAAUAGCUUUUAACUCUUUUUUUACUCGUUUCAUUAAACUUGUCAAAUAAAAAAAUGAGCGUUUCUUCAUUUCGAAUCAUUAACCUAAUCGGGACCAACAGGAGGUUUGUUCUUUAUGAAAUAAUAACGGCAGCAGAAUCAACUUUUAGUAUACGCACAGCUAAUUAAGCUUAUCACGUUCAAGCCAAAAGUAUUAUUA